UAGAAGAUAACCAUCUAUUAGUAAUAAACCCCAUUUUUCCCUUUUGCUGUAAUAGAAAUGGAGCCUAGAACCAUCGAAUAUCAAAAUUUAUAUCUCCGCAAUCAAGAUUAACAUUUCGAAGGCAUUCAUUUAAGAAAGAUAUGGAAGUUUGUCCAUUGCUAUCGUGAAGGAAGAUAGGAAUAUAAAAUCAUCGAAUCCAAUUUGAAGGGAGUAGAAGCUUAUACCGAUUUUACAAUUAAAGGUACGAAUGAAUAUGGUAUGAAGAUGCGACAAUUGAAGAAAUUUGAUUCUUAUGAAAAAGUUAUCGAAAACUGAAAUGGUAUGAGGAGUAACUCGAAAUACGUCAAGAGCGAAGACACAAUCAGGUAUAAUAUCGAAAAGAGAAAUUAAAUUGCUUCCUACUUUUUAUGCCUACAAAUGUUCCUACCCAAUAAAAUUAUGACAAGUGUCAUCAUUCCAUAUUUUUUUAACUAACUCCUUAAGGUUAUAUUAGGAAUAUAUCAAUUACAAUUAAAUUGAAUGAUGAUUUGUCAUAAUUUUAGUGGGUAGGAAUAAUUGUAGGCAUAAAAGGUAGGAGGCAAUUUAAUUUCUCUAUGGAAAAAUAAUUGCUGAUUAGUAGGAGAAUAUGUGGACCAUUGCCAAUUUUCUAGCAAGGGAUGAUUUGGGCGGGAACUAAUUUCUAAGGAAAAUGUAGAAAAUGACACGUGGACUUUGGUUGUGUAGAAGAAUGCCAUGUGGCACCUUAGGAAGUCUUUUAUUAGAAGAGGGGAUGCGGUAUAUCACCAUUAGUAGCCCUCAAAAUAGUUUUGGAAGGCCCAGGAAACUUGACCAAAAUGGGCCGUUUGAAAUUCUGCGCUCUACGUGGCGAUUCCCUACGCUUGAUUCAUCGUCAUCACUAUUUAUAGGGAGUUUGAAAAUCAAGGUUUAAUUUGUCUUUUAUGUACAUUUUCCAUUUGAACUUUUACAAACCUCUGACGCAAGAAAAGGGCUUCUGUUGGUUUGCUUUUGCUCUAUAAUUUCAUAAACAUGGCCAACAUAAUUACCAAAA